rnacentral:sRNA from 20 species
GAGAAUGUGAAGAGAAAAGCACUGAGGUCGAAACAAGGCAAGACUUCAAGUGCUUUUCUUG